CUAUCAUCUGUGAUCUUACAUACCUAGCCUCUUUUCGCGAUUACAAAGGUACUGCAGGCUCAGCGCACAUAGAUUUACUCUCUGAAGGGACUGUGCUCAGUCCAUUUUUAGACUAACUGAGGAGCACUGACGACAACAAGGAUACAUAAACAUGUCGAGCCUGGCUUACAUCAACCCUGGCGGCAAACAGGCCCGCAAGGCGAGCGCUCUGGAUAUCAACAUGAUUGCCGCGCGAGGGCUGCAGGAAGUUUUGAAAACUAACCUUGGGCCUCGUGGCACAAUGAAGAUGCUGGUCUCUGGUGCUGGCAUGAUUAAAAUCACCAAAGAUGGUAACACUUUGCUUGGCGAAAUGCAAAUUCAACAUCCGACCGCGGCGCUUAUCGCUCGCGCAGCGACUGCGAUCGACGACAUUACAGGUGACGGGAGUACCGGUGUGGUCCUUACGAUUGGCGAGAUGAUGCGGCAGUCGGAGCGCUACAUUCAGGAAGGUAUGCACCCGCGCACAAUCACGGAGGGCUUUCACAUCGCCCGCGACGAGGCUCUCAAGUUUUUGGAAGGGAAUAUUAUUGAAAUACCUAACGAGGAACGGCGGGAGUAUCUAACCAACGUGGCGCGGACUGCGUUGACGACGAAAGUGAAUGCCGGGCUAUCGGAGAAGCUCGCAGAGGCUGUUGUGGACGCUGUAUACGCUAUCGCCGAGCAUGGAAAGGAGGUGGAUCUGCACAUGGUGGAGGUGAUGCACAUGCGCCACCGUCUCAGCUCGGACACGCGCUUUGUGAAUGGUAUUGUGCUUGAUCAUGGUGGUCGUAACAGCGACAUGCCCAAGUAUCUUGAGAACGCUUAUAUUCUAACCUGCAAUGUGUCGCUUGAGUACGAGCGCAGUGAGCUGACCACAGGCUUCUACUACAAGGAUCCUGCGGAGAAGGCACGCAUGGUGGAGGCAGAGCGCAAAAUGACCGACGAUCGCGUGCGUCAGAUCAUCGAGCUGAAGAGGAGAGUGUGCACGAAGGAAAAUGGUCGGACGUUCGUGGUGAUUAAUCAGAAGGGCAUUGAUCCUAUUUCUCUGGAGAUGCUUGCGAAGGAGAACAUUCUUGCGCUGCGCCGCGCGAAGCGUCGCAACAUGGAGCGCCUGGUGCUGGCGUGCGGCGGGGAGGCAGUCAACGCCACUGAUAAUCUGACGCCAGACGUUCUCGGCGAGGCCGGCCUCAUUCAGGAAUACACGUUGGGUGAUGACAAGUACACUUUUGUGGAGAACGCCUCCAAGGGUAAAAGCUGUACGCUGCUCGUGAAAGGCCCAAACGACCACACAAUUGCACAAAUAAAGGACGCCGUACGCGACGGAUUGCGUGCUGUGAAGAACGCCUUUGAGGCUUUGGCGGUUGUUGCCGGUGCUGGUGCCUUCGAGGUGGCGCUGCACGACCAUCUGAUGAAGUUUGCCGACAACGUGAGCGGGAAGCAGAAGAUCGGCAUCCGCGCCUACGCUGACGCCAUGCUCGUCACGCCCAAGACACUGGCUGAGAACUCCGGCCUUGACGUGCAGGAGUGCCUUAUCACGCUGCAGGAGGCCAGCAGGACGGCUCGCAAAGGCGGAAAGUGGGCUGGUCUCAGAAUCGAGAACGGUGACGUGAUUGAUCCCAUCGCGGCCGGUAUUCUCGACAACGUUAUUGUGAAGCGGAGUCUUCUUGAGUGCACUGGCGACAUCGUUGCGCAGCUGCUCCUCGUCGACGAGAUCAUGAAGGCUGGGCGCCGCGGCGCCGGAGGUCAGUAGCAUGGCGGAGUGAGGUGCGGUUCUACGUAUGACACAGAGGCCUAUGGCAGUCGACACUGCUGCUGUUCGACGUGCUGCAAGUUUUUUUUGUGUUUUUUUUUUCGUUUUCUUUUUACUCCCUAUCACAGGCUGAGUGUCAUGGGUGCCCGUGUAUGAUUGUCGUUGUGUCUAGAAAGUGAGCACAUUUGCACGCGUUGUAGGUGGUGGUUGACAAAUCAGUUUUGCUGACGUGGCGGUUCGCGCUUUCGUUAGCUGUGAACCGGGAGGAUGCGGCUGGGAGCAUUGACGAGUAUUGUCUGCGCCGCCAGGAACGGCAGCACUCCCCGUGCACGUUGAUAAUCUCUUCAAUUUUGAACUGAAAAAGCCCGUUAACGGCGUAGGGGUCGGCGAUUGUGGUGAGGACAGAAAAAGCAGGAAAACUGUUUGGCCAGGUGAAACAAAC
rnacentral:misc_RNA from 1 species